ACAGAAAAAAAGAAUGACUCUUUUCUCAAUCGCAGUAAUGCCAACCCUCAACUUCUCCCCUUCAAUCCCUCCAUGGCUUCCAUUGCGAUCCCCCUUCAAUCAUGCUCUCAUCCUGAAGAACCGAAGUCACUCGGUUCUUCUCCCUCUUCACUGCUCUACGAGCUCCCAGUCCUCUCCCACACCAGAAGCCGCCGCCUCUCCUUCUUCCAGGAUCUUCAUCAAAGCUCUCUAAUGCAGGUCUGUCACACUCAACAUCUGAGGGAUCCUUGGCAAAAGCUUUUUCAAGCUUCGGAGAUGUUAAAAGAGUUAAAAUUAUUCUUAGUAAAGGAUCGAAGCAAUCUUUAGGAUUCGCUUACAUUUGGUUUGCUCACGAAGAAGAUGCAUAUUUGGCUAUAAGUGAGAUGGAUGGAAAGUUUUUCGAAGGUAGGUUCAUCUCGGUUGAGAUAGCAGACCCUGAAUCUCCUACAAAGCAGGUAAGAGCUGUACCUUAUAGAUUUUAAUGAGAAAUUUUCCCAAAUAGAUUACUUGGUAUAAUUCCACUGUGUAUAUUUGUUAGAGAAACCUUGAAUCUUAUCGGAUAAUAGGACUUCAUCUUAUCGCCUUACUUGUCUUGUAUUAUUAGUUAUCUAUGCUUAUUUUGGGUCAUAUAUCAUGACACCCAAGGAUGAGAAUGCUGAAAAAAAUGAAAAAUUACAAGAAUCAUGUUUGACAUUGUGAAGUUACAGUAA